CGUCCUACGGGGGGCAGCAGUGAGGAAUAUUGGUCAAUGGCCGAGAGGCUGAACCGGCCAAGUCGCGUGAGGGAAGACUGCCCUAUGGGUUGUAAACCUCUUUUGUCAGGGAGCAACGCCGGCUACGUGUAGCCGGACUGAGAGUACCUGAAGAAAAAGCAUCGGCUAACUCCGUGCCAGCAGCCGCGGUAAUACGGAGGAUGCGAGCGUUAUCCGGAUUUAUUGGGUUUAAAGGGUGCGUAGGCGGAAUGCCGAGUCAGCGGUAAAAUCGCGGGGCUCAACCUCGCUCCGCCGUUGAAACUGGC
rnacentral:rRNA from 1 species